rnacentral:tRNA from 1 species
GGGAAGGUGGCUCAGUGGUAUAGCGCUUGCCUUGCAUGCAUGAAGCCCUGGGUUCGAUUCCUCAGCUCCA